rnacentral:rRNA from 1 species
AGUGAACGCUGGCGGUAGGCUUAACACAUGCAAGUCGAACGGGAGCACAGGAAGAGCUGGCUGUUACGGGUGGAGAGUGGCGGAAGGGUGAGGAAUACAUCGGAAUAUACUUUUUCGUGGGGGCUAAUGUAGGGUAACUUACGCUAAUACCGCAUUCGAGCUACGGGUGAAAGCAGGGGAUCUUCGGACCUUGCGCGAUUGAAUGAGCCGAUGUCGGAUUAGCUAGUUGGCGGGGUAAAGGCCAAACAAGGCGACGAUCGGUAGCUGGUCUGAGAGGACGGUCCACCACCCUGGAACUGAGGCACGGUCCACACUCCGGCGGUAAGCCGCAGUGCAGAAUAUUAGACAAUGCACGCAUGCCUGAUCCAGCCAUACCGCGUGAGUCAAGAAGCCCUCAUGCUUGGAGAGCCCUUUAGUUCUUAAAGAAAAGCAGCACUUUAAUACCCCGCUGUACUGACGGUACCCAAAGAAUAAGCACCGGCUAACUUCGUG